rnacentral:rRNA from 1 species
UACAGAGGGGGCAAGCGUUAUUCGGAAUUAUUGGGCGUAAAGGGCGCGUAGGCGGCUUUGCAAGUGACGGGUGAAAUCCCUCGGCUUAACCGAGGAACUGCCUGUCAGACUGCAUGGCUUGAGACCGGGAGAGGUGAGUGGAAUUCCGAGUGUAGAGGUGAAAUUCGUAGAUAUUCGGAGGAACACCAGUGGCGAAGGCGGCUCACUGGCUCGGUACUGACGCUGAGGUGCGAAAGCGUGGGGAGCAAACAGG